rnacentral:lncRNA from 1 species
UUGUCUCCUUAGUGGUGUUCUUACAGAGGACUAUACAAUGCCAGAAAUAGUUUGUAAAGAAGUCUGUCCUCUUAAGUCCCCAGCUUAGAGAUCAAGAUAUGUUUGCUAACAUGCUUUUAUGUCAACUCAGACUCUAAGCGCAUGGGAGCAGAAUCUAACUUUGCUGUUAGCUCUACAAAUUGUCUGGAAGCCACAGGGACUGAAAAGCUAAAGGAGGGCAAGCUUAAGCUUGUAGAAUCCUGUAUUUUUUUCCCCCAGUUUUCUUCAAAGUCUAUAGACUUCAAACAUAGUUUCAAAGACAGUUAAGUCUUCAAGAUGCUAAGAUUUUUAUCUUGCUUUGAGAAGCUGCUGACUGAGGAGUGUUGUUAGUAACCUUCCUGAGGAAAAGACGUGAAAAAGAACGUGCCCUUUACUAGCCAGGGAUAAACUACGAAAAUGUGAUUUGCUGGUUUCAGAGCUGCCUUUUUGGCUGCCUGCAAUGGAAUAUCUUAUUUACUGUACUAUGGUCUGUGUAUUUGACUUGUGAAUUAAAACGUGGUAGAUGAUAAGGGGGUUUUACAGAAUAGGUGUUAGUUGUGAUGGAUUUUAAGCUGAACAUAAAUGAAGCUGUACAGAUGUAAGCAGUUCCCUAAAGUCUAAGUUUCUAGCAUAAAAUGAAAGAAUGUGAUCACCGGUUUGGCUCGUAAAGAAGGGAAGUAAAAUAACGUUAAGUUCCCUGACUAGUAAGGGGAAAAAUAAAGGUCUGUGUUUCGAUGCUUUGAAGGUACAACUUCAGUUAUAACUGCUGUGUAGAUGGGCUAUAGAUGUAAUGCUGCUGUGGAUGUGAUGUUGAAGUUGGCAGCAGGGUUUUAUUUGAGGUGGGGAUGGGCACUAAGCUGCCACCUCAGGAAGCUGCGUUACGGGGCUGAGGGCGUCAGAAGGUUCCAGCAGCGCGGGCCGUUAGCACCGCAUCGCCGCUGCCUGCGGGUGGUCCUCGGCGCUCCUCAGGGGGUGCCCUGAAGAGAAUGUUGAAUGGUGAAAAACGAUGCUCCGCAGGUCUCCUUUUCCCCAUCUUCAUAUCAAGAGUAAAACCCAUUAGCAUGGGCAUGGAUGGUCAAGCUUAUGAUCAGCUGAAAUAUUUGAGUGCCUCGGAGAGCAAGUGAUGGUGACAUGUGGUGUUUUGCCAUUUCCAUAGUCUACUCACUACUUCUAACACAGGAGUUGAAAAUUAUCACCAGAAGAUUAUUUCUGAACUUGAUCAACUAAAGGAUUAAGGUAAUU